rnacentral:lncRNA from 1 species
GGAGGGGCGGGCUGCCCAGGAAUGGGGGACUCUCUCAGGGAAGGGGGAAGCUGAAGAGCCUGGAGAACCAGAAGAUAAGGAAAUCAAGGCUCAGAGAAGGAAGUAUCAUGCAAAGAAACCAAGGCUCAGAGAGAUUAAGCCACUUGCUUGAGAUCACACAGUUGUCAAGACGCAGCAUCAGGACUCGAGUAGCACGUUUUCCCACAGGACUCUGUCUUCCUCAAUGCCUCUUGGUUCUCAGGGGAAUGAAUACUCCAGAUAGUGGCGGUGCCUGGCUUUCUGUGGCUGCUUAAGGAUGAACUGAGAGGAUGUAUGUGCAGCGCCUGGCACAGUCAGCCAUGAGGUUGGCCAAGAGGAGGAGGAGGGGACGAGGAUGCUGACCACAGGGUAUGAUGUUGUGAUUUAUAAUAAAUUCAUCUUUGGGCUUUGUCCAUUUCUGGCACAGAGUUCCUACAAACCUUGGAAUUGCU